rnacentral:rRNA from 1 species
GGUUCCGGCAGUCGACGAUUCCUACGGGAGGCAGCAGUGGGGAAUAUUGCACAAUGGGCGGAAGCCUGAUGCAGCGACGCCGCGUGAGGGAUGACGGCCUUCGGGUUGUAAACCUCUUUCAGCAGGGAAGAAGCCACAAGUGACGGUACCUGCAGAAGAAGCGCCGGCUAACUACGUGCCAGCAGCCGCGGUAAUACGUAGGGCGCAAGCGUUGUCCGGAAUUAUUGGGCGUAAAGAGCUCGUAGGCGGUUUGUCGCGUCUGCUGUGAAAGCCCGGGGCUCAACCCCGGGUCUGCAGUGGGUACGGGCAGACUAGAGUGCAGUAGGGGAGACUGGAAUUCCUGGUGUAGCGGUGAAAUGCGCAGAUAUCAGGAGGAACACCGAUGGCGAAGGCAGGUCUCUGGGCUGUUACUGACGCUGAGGAGCGAAAGCAUGGGGAGCGAACAGGAUUAGAUACCCUGGUAGUCCAUGCCGUAAACGUUGGGCACUAGGUGUGGGGGACAUUCCACGUUCUCCGCGCCGUAGCUAACGCAUUAAGUGCCCCGCCUGGGGAGUACGGCCGCAAGGCUAAAACUCAAAUGAAUUGACGG